AACGAACGCUGGCGGCAUGCCUAACACAUGCAAGUCGAACGAGACCUUCGGGUCUAGUGGCGCACGGGUGCGUAACGCGUGGGAACCUGCCCUUAGGUUCGGAAUAACUCCCCGAAAGGGGUGCUAAUACCGGAUAAUGUCUUCGGACCAAAGAUUUAUCGCCUUUGGAUGGGCCCGCGUUGGAGUAGCUAGUUGGUAGGGUAAAAGCCUACCAAGGCGACGAUCCAUAGCUGGUCUGAGAGGAUGAUCAGCCACACUGGGACUGAGACACGGCCCAGACUCCUACGGGAGGCGGCAGUGGGGAAUAUUGGACAGUGGGCGAAGGCCUGAUCCAGCACUGCCGCGUGAGUGAUGAAGGCCUUAGGGUUGUAAAGCUCUUUUACCCGGGAUGGUAAUGACAGUACCGGGAGAAUAAGCUCCGGCUAACUCCGUG
rnacentral:rRNA from 1 species